CCUACGGGAGGCAGCAGUGGGGAAUAUUGGACAAUGGGGGCAACCCUGAUCCAGCGAUGCCGCGUGGGUGAAGAAGGCCUUCGGGUUGUAAAGCCCUUUAGGUUGGGAAGAAGUUUGUUUGGUGAUAAGCCAAGCAGAUUGACGGUACCGACAGAAUAAGCACCGGCAAACUCUGUGCCAGCAGCCGCGGUAAUACAGAGGGUGCGAGCGUUAAUCGGAAUUACUGGGCGUAAAGGGCGCGUAGGCGGUGAUAUGAGUGUGAUGUGAAAGCCCCGGGCUUAACCUGGGAAGUGCAUCACAAACGAUAUUACUGGAGUAUAUGAGAGGGUGGCGGAAUUUCCGGUGUAGCGGUGAAAUGCGUAGAGAUCGGAAGGAACGUCGAUGGCGAAGGCAGCCACCUGGCAUAAUACUGACGCUGAGGCGCGAAAGCGUGGGUAGCGAACAGGAUUAGAUACCCUGGUAGUCCACGCUGUAAACGAUGAGAACUAGAUGUUGGUAGGGGAACCUAUCGGUAUCGAAGCUAACGCGAUAAGUUCUCCGCCUGGGAAGUACGGCCGCAAGGUUGAAACUCAAAUGAAUUGACGG
rnacentral:rRNA from 1 species